UAUCUCUGUAGAGUCUGCAUAUCAAUAAGCGGAGGAAAAGAAACUAACUAGGAUUCCCUCAGUAACGGCGAGUGAAGCGGGAAGAGCUCAAAUUUGAAAUCUUCAAGGUUCUACCUUGACGAAUUGUAGUUUAAAGAAGUGUUUUCUGUUGGAGUUUUGGUGAAAGUUCUUUGGAAUAGGACAUCAUAGAGGGUGAGAAUCCCGUAUUUGACCAUUAUUUCCAGCUUUGUGAUACACUUUCAAAGAGUCGGAUUGUUUGGGAAUGCAGUCCAAAAUGGGUGGUAAAUUUCAUCUAAAGCUAAAUAUUGGCGAGAGACCGAUAGCGAACAAGUACCGUGAGGGAAAGAUGAAAAGAACUUUGAAAAGAGAGUUAAACAGUACGUGAAAUUGUCAAAAGGGAAGCGUUUGACAUCAGUGUUGUUUUCUCGAAAAUCCAAUUAAAAAAGGCAGGAUUUUGUGUUGUAUUGACUUUAUCAGCUUUCUGCACUCUUUUCUUGUCUUUUUUAAUGCACUUUUCGUUUAACAAGUCAACAUCAAUUUCUUUUGUUGUAAAAGGGUCAUUGGAAGGUGGCUCUCUUUUCGGAGAAAGUGUUUAUAGCCUUUGGCCUCUGCAAUCGGAGAGAUUGAGGUCUGCAGCGUAGAUCCUUCGGGGUUAGAUACAUUUGUGCUAAGUUAUAGCCUUUCAUAGACAACUUGUUGACUAUGAUCAGUCAUGUAGCUUACUCGCUUAUGCUAUUUAUACCUACGCUUAGGAUGUUGACGAUCAGCUGAGCGC
rnacentral:rRNA from 1 species